UGCAAGUCGAACGAGAAAGGGAUUGCUUGCAAUCCUGAGUAGAGUGGCGCACGGGUGAGUAACACGUAGAUAAUCUACCUUCAAGCCUGGGAUAACUAUUCGAAAGGAUAGCUAAUACCGGAUAAAGUUAAUUUACAUAAGUUUAUUAAUGAAAGAUUGCCUCUUCUUGAAAGCAAUUGUUUGGGGAUGAGUCUGCGGACCAUUAGCUUGUUGGUGGGGUAACGGCCUACCAAGGCAGCGAUGGUUAGCUGGUCUGAGAGGAUGAUCAGUCACACUGGAACUGGAACACGGUCCAGACUCCUACGGGAGGCAGCAGUGAGGAAUUUUGCGCAAUGGGGGAAACCCUGACGCAGCAACGCCGCGUGAGUGAAGAAGGCCUUUGGGUCGUAAAGCUCUGUCAACAAGGAAGAAAUUAUUAUCAUUUAAUAGAUGUUAAUAUUGACGGUACUUGUGGAGGAAGCGCCGGCUAACUCCGUGCCAGCAGCCGCGGUAACACGGGGGGCGCAAGCGUUAUUCGGAAUUAUUGGGCGUAAAGGGCGCGCAGGCGGUCUUGUCAGUCAGGUGUGAAAGCCCGGGGCUCAACCCUGGAAGAGCACUUGAAACAGCAAGACUUGAAUACAGGAGAGGAGAGAGGAAUUCCUGGUGUAGAGGUGAAAUUCGUAGAUAUCAGGAGGAACACCGAUGGCGAAGGCAUCUCUC
rnacentral:rRNA from 1 species